UUCGCAAUGCCCGAAAGGGUGACGAUGCGACGCCGCGUGAGCGAAGAAGGCCCUAGGGUUGUAAAGCUCUGUCGAGGGUUAUGAAAUAUAGAUGGGUUAAUACCCCAUUUAUUUGACAAAAGCCCAAAAGGAAGCCACGGCUAACUCUGUGCCAGCAGCCGCGGUAAUACAGAGGUGGCGAGCGUUGUUCGGUAUUAUUGGGCGUAAAGAGCACGUAGGUGGUUUUGUAAGUCAGGUGUGAAAGCCUUCUGUUCAAAGGAAGAACGGCAUCUGAAACUGCAGAUCUUGAGUGUAGGAGGGGAGAGUGGAACUUCUGGUGGAGCGGUGAAAUGCGUAGAUAUCAGAAGGAACGUCGGCGGCGAAAGCGACUCUCUGGCCUAUUACUGACACUGAGGUGCGAAAGUUAGGGGAGCAAACGGGAUUAGAUACCCCGGUAGUCCUAACCGUAAACGAUGGGCACUAAGUAGAGGGGUUUU
rnacentral:rRNA from 3 species